UAUUGGGUCAAAUUGAUUUGGGGGAGUGCUGCUGUUCAACGGGGUGAUUCCCGUGUACUCAGUGCAUUUUCUUACCCGUCGUGUGCUUUGGAUGGUCGAUUUUGGGCUGUCUGGGGCUGAGGGAUCCCCUUUUAUAGGGUGAAGACGAUGGGGCGCUGACACGAUACGACCCGUCUUGAAACACGGACCAAGGAGUUCAGCAUGUGUGCGAGUCAAAGGGUGAUUAAACCUGGGGGCGCAGUGAAAGCAACUUUUGUGUAAGGGAAUCCAACAUUAAGCAGUUUCAGGCGGCAUACGAUCGUUGAUUGUAGGACUGACCUAGAGCACAUGUGCUGAGACCCGAAAGAUGGUGAACUAUGCCGGAGUAGGGCGAAGCCAGAGGAAACUCUGGUGGAGGCUCGUAGCGGUGCUGACGUGCAAAUCGCUCGUCUGACUCGGGUAUAGGGGCGAAAGACUAAUCGAACCAUCUAGUAGCUGGUUUCCUCCGAAGUUUCUCUCAGGAUAGCAGGCCGACGAAUAAGCAUGAAGUCUCAGUUGUUGUGUGCGGUAAAGCGAAUGAUUAGCGUAUUUGGGGGUGAUUAGCCUUCAGACGAUUCUCAAACUUUAAAUGCGCACGGAUGUUGCCGCUUGGGUGGGCGGUAUCAAUUAAAAAACGUC
rnacentral:rRNA from 1 species